AUGGCUUAUCUUGGCAACCAAACGGGGCCUAAAUAUAUUGCUUCCAUUCAUUUAAUGGUAGCCGUAGAUAUAUUGUGUAUGUAUGUACGUAUAGUCGCACUAAAAGAUAACAGGAAAAAAGAAAAAAAGUUGUGAUAAGACGAUCAUGCGCAAGAUUUUGAUUCCUCAAAUGUCGGUUUGGCAAAAAAUUAGGUCACGUGUUGACGUUAACGAAACUAGAAACAAGAGUUGUGGUGAAUCCCACUAAACAAACACAUGAUAAAUGUAAGUCGAAAGCACUAGUUGCUACAAGAAUUGCACAUAGAAUGAAAAGCAACUUAGCAAAAUCAAGUAAUAAUAGUCAUCCCCACAAAAUCAAGUUGUGAUAAGACGAUCAUGCGCAAGAUUUUGAUUCCUCAAAUGUCGGUUUGGCAAAAAAUUAGGUCACGUGUUGACGUUUACGAAACUAGAAACAAGAGUUGUGGUGAAUCCCACUAAACAAACACAUGAUAAAUGUAAGUCGAAAGCACUAGUUGCUACAAGAAUUGCACAUAGAAUGAAAAGCAACUUAGCAAAAUCAAGUAAUAAUAGUC
rnacentral:lncRNA from 1 species